CACCCGCACAGUAACAGCUCCAGACAGGGCCUGGCUGUGGGCCUGGCUUCCAGCCCAUUUCCUUGCACGGAGCUUUUUCCAUCACUAUCAGUGGAUGAAUCCAUCAAACUGCACCACGCCGCAGUCACAAUGCCACGGGGUUUGGAGGGCCAUGUCCAGUCAUUGUUUCUCCCAGGGGAAAAUGAGAGGUCAGGAAUCCAGCCCCGUGCAGAGGAUCCUCGAGGCCCGUGUGCCGUUGAGGCCCUUCAAACACGCUUUGAAUGCUUUUUCAGAGAGGCUCAGCAGUGGUGCUCAGCACCUGUGUAGCCAUAAAGUCACAUAAACCUCCCAAACAUCUCUUCUGUCCCUUUCAUCCAUCAUUUCCAGAGGCUCUGUCUGUGUGAGGUUUGACACUGGCUGCUCAGUACUGAAAGGUGGAGCAGCCCAUGGAGAGUGAUCCAUACUUUUAUCACACUCCGUAAGUGGUGACCUUGCAGCAGUAAAUGCUCUCCAAAGGGCUCUGAGCUGAGUUUCUUCUGCACUUCCCACAAAUUUCAGGGCGCAGAUUUCCCACAGACGAAAUGGGAGUAUGGUGCCAGUUAAGGGAAAAGUUCAACACAAACAUCUCCUUGGUUUUCUAAGAUCCGUGGGCUGAGGUGUGCCACCUGCCAGGUGGAAACGCAGACCAGAAAAAUCACAGCGAGUUCCUAGAAAGAAGGAACAGACCAGGAGCAGACCCGGAGGAGGUGUCACACCUGCCAAGCCACCCAGCCAGGAGGAAAGUUGGCUUUGGACUCUCAGAAAGGUAGAAAGACAAAACAAAUUCCAGAGUUCCAAGGCCUGGGGGAUACAUGGCCCUUGUGCUAUCUUGGUUCUUCCUGGGAGUCAAGGAUGAAAACAACUCUUGGAGAUAUAUUUCAUGGACAAAGCACAGCCAGUGCUGAAGUGGGGCUCCAGAGAAGAGGCUUGACCUGGGGGCGAAUUGCAUCACCACUUGUCCUCCUAAUUGCUUUUUAUCAAAUAUGCUAAUUUCCUAAAACCUGUAAAAAUGCACUCACCCUUGUGGGGAUGGCCUUUUGUGGACAUC